rnacentral:rRNA from 1 species
GACGAACGCUGGCGGCGUGCUUAACACAUGCAAGUCGAACGGAAAGGCCUGCUUUCCCUUGUGGAUUGCGGGUACUCGAGUGGCGAACGGGUGAGUAACACGUGAGUGAUCUGCCCCCAACUUGGGUAUAAGCCUGGGAAACUGGGUCUAAUUCCCGAUAGGACUGCAGGGUGGUGCCUGUGGUGGAACACGAUUUUCUAGUGGUUGGGGAUGAGCUCGCGGCCUAUCAGCUUGUUGGUGGGGUAAUGGCCUACCAAGGCGGCGACGGGUAGCCGGCCUGAGAAGGUGGACGGCCACAUUGGGACUGAGAUACGGCCCAGACUCCUACGGGAGGCAGCAGUGGGGAAUAUUGCACAAUGGGCGGAAGCCUGAUGCAGCGACGCCGCGUGGGGGAUGACGGCCUUCGGGUGGUAAACUCCUUUCGACCGCGAGGAAGCCACCUGGUUGGAAGGGUGGUGACGUUAGUGGUAGAAGAAGCACCGGCUAACUACGUG